UACGUAGGGUGCAAGCGUUAUCCGGAUUCACUGGGUUUAAAGGGUUCGUAGGCGGGCAGGUAAGUCAGUGGUGAAAUCUCCAAGCUUAACUUGGAAACUGCCGUUGAUACUAUCUGUCUUGAAUAUUGUGGAGGUGAGCGGAAUAUGUCAUGUAGCGGUGAAAUGCUUAGAUAUGACAUAGAACACCAAUUGCGAAGGCAGCUCGCUACACAUAUAUUGACUCUGAGGCACGAAAGCGUGGGGAUCAAACAGG
rnacentral:rRNA from 1 species